rnacentral:rRNA from 1 species
CGGGGCUUAAAGUCUUGUAAUUGGAAUGAUGGGAAUUUAAACCUCUUCCAGAGUAUCAAUUGGAGGGCAAGUCUGGUGCCAGCAGCCGCGGUAAUUCCAGCUCCAAUAGCGUAUAUUAAAAUUGUUGCAGUUAAAAAGCUCGUAGUUGAAUUUCUGCUGCAUUGCUUGUGUCCCUCUGGGGUCUGUGCAUGUGGCUUUUUUCGGACGGAGUUUCUUUGUCUGAAUGUUUACUUUGAGAAAAUUAGAGUGCUCAAAGCAGGCUUUCGCCUUGAAUAGUUUAGCAUGGGAUAAUAAAGUAGGACUUUGGUUCUAUUUUGUUGGUUUUAGGUACCAAAGUAAUGGUUAAUAGGAACAGUUGGGGGCAUUCGUAUUUAACUGUCAGAGGUGAAAUUCUUAGAUUUGUUAAAGACGAACUACUGCGAAAGCAUUUGCCAAGGAUGUUUUCAUUAAUCAAGAAC